rnacentral:lncRNA from 1 species
CCGCGGUGGGCUCAGCGCGAGGCUGCGCGGAGCGGCGGCUCGGCCCCGCUGAGGUGGAAGCGGGGCCAGGCCACAGCGGCCUUGCUGCAGCCCGAGCUCAGAGCGGCUGAGGUCACCCCUCCCUGAAGCCCUCGAGACUCUGCGGUGGGACGCACCAGCCCUUUCCCCUGACAUCAGAACAGUGUGGCCGGAAGCAUAAACUGGGUGAAGCAGUGGCCCCCACAACCGCCAGCGGCUCUGAGGAGAAGUCUUCCGCGGAGGCAGCAGCUGCAGCAGCAUCACCGACCCGCCCGCCAUGGAAGACAUGAACCAGUCGCCUCUGGUCUCCUCGUCCUCGGACAGCCCGCCCCGGCCUCAGCCUGCGUUCAAGUACCAGUUCGUGAGGGAGCCCGAGGACGAAGAGGAAGAGGAGGAGGAGGAGGAAGACGAGGACGAGGACGAAGACUUGGAGGAGCUGGAGGUGCUGGAAAGGAAGCCGCCGCCGGCUUUCGGCGGCCCCGGUGCCCCCUGCCGCCGCCCCCGCCGGCGCUCCCCUGCUGGACUUUGGCAAUGACUUCGUGCCCCCGGCCCCCCGGGGGCCCCUGCCGGCCGCGCCCCUCGCCGCCCCGGAACGGCAGCCGUCUUGGGACCCGAGCACCGCGUCGUCGGCCGUGCCCGCGCCCUCCCCACCCUCCGCUGCCGCAGCCGCGCCCUCCAAGCUCCCCGAGGACGAUGAGCCUCCGGCCCGGCCUCCCCCGCCUCCCCCGGCGGCGUGAGCCCUCAGGCUGA